AACGAACGCUGGCGGCAGGCCUAACACAUGCAAGUCGAACGCUCGUAGCAAUACGAGAGUGGCAGACGGGUGAGUAACACGUGGGAACCUUCCCUAUGGUUCGGAAUAGCUCAGGGAAACUUGAGGUAAUACCGGAUAAGCCCUUCGGGGAAGGAUUUAUCGCCAUUGGAUGGGCCCGCGUCGGAUUAGCUAGUUGGUGAGGUAACGGCUCACCGAGGCGACGAUCCGUAGCUGGUCUGAGAGGAUGAUCAGCCACACUGGGACUGAGACACGGCCCAGACUCCUACGGGAGGCAGCAGUGGGGAAUAUUGGACAAUGGGCGCAAGCCUGAUCCAGCCAUGCCGCGUGAGUGACGAAGGUCUUCGGAUUGUAAAGCUCUUUUGGCGGGGGACGAUAAUGACGGUACCCGCAGAAUAAGCCCCGGCUAACUUCGUGCCAGCCGCCGCCGUAAU
rnacentral:rRNA from 1 species